rnacentral:rRNA from 1 species
AACGAACGCUGGCGGCGUGGAUAAGACAUGCAAGUCGAACGGAUUAUUCACUGUAGCAAUACAGUGGGUAGUCAGUGGCGCAAGGGUGCGUAACACGUGGGCAACCUGCCCGGAAGUGGGGGAUAGCUCGCCGAAAGGCGAAUUAAUACCGCAUGUAGCUAGGGGAGACAUCUCUCUGAGGCUAAAGUCGGCGCAAGCUGACGCUUCUGGAUGGGCCCGCGGCCUAUCAGCUAGUUGGUGAGGUAACGGCUCACCAAGGCGAUGACGGGUAGCUGGUCUGAGAGGACGACCAGCCACACUGGAACUGAGACACGGUCCAGACACCUACGGGUGGCAGCAGUCGAGAAUUUUUCUCAAUGGGGGAAACCCUGAAGGAGCGACGCCGCGUGGAGGAUGAAGGUCUUCGGAUUGUAAACUCCUGUCAUUGGUGAACAAGGUUGGACGAGUAACUGCGUACCAGCUUGAUAGUAGCCGAAGAGGAAGAGACGGCUAACUCUGUGCCAGCAGCCGCAGUAAAAC